rnacentral:rRNA from 1 species
AGGAUAAACGCUGGCGGCGUGCCUAACACAUGCAAGUCGAACGUCUCUUUCUUCGGGAAGGGGAGUGGCGGACGGGUGAGGAACACGUGGGAACCUGCCCUUUAGUGAGGAAUACCGGCGAGAAAUCGCCGACAAGACCGCAUAGCCCUCUUUGAUGAGAGUCAAAGAAGGAAAGCUUCGCAAGAGGCGCUAGAGGAGGGGCCUGCGUCCGAUUAGCUAGUUGGUGGGGUAAGAGCCUACCAAGGCGUCGAUCGGUAGCUGGUCUGAGAGGACGAUCAGCCACACUGGGAUUGAGAACGGCCCAGACUCCUACGGGGGGCAGCAGUGAGGAAUUUUCGGCAAUGGGGGAAACCCUGACCGAGCAACGCCGCGUGCAGGAAGACGGCCUUCGGGUUGUAACUGCUUUUCUUUGGGAAGAGAACGGACGGUACCGAGAGGAAUCGAGCCCCGGCUCACUACGUGCCAGCAGCCGCGA